rnacentral:rRNA from 1 species
UCGAGGGAGGAGCUUUCGGGCUUCGACCGGCGUACGGGUGCGUAACGCGUAUACAAUCUGCCUUUCACAUAGGGAUAGCCCGAAGAAAUUUGGAUUAAUACCUAAUGGUAUAUAGGAGCGGCAUCGUUUUUAUAUUAAAGCUACGGUGGUGAAAGAUGAGUAUGCGUUCUAUUAGCUAGUUGGAGAGGUAACGACUCCCCAAGGCGACGGUAGAUAGGGGUUCUGAGAGGGAUGUCCCCCACACUGGUACUGAGAUACGGACCAGACUCCUACGGGAGGCAGCAGUGAGGAAUAUUGGACAAUGGUCGGAAGACUGAUCCAGCCAUGCCGCGUGCAGGAUGAAGGUCCUAUGGAUUGUAAACUGCUUUUGUAAGGGAAGAAUAAGGAGUACGUGUACUUUGAUGACGGUACCUUACGAAUAAGCAUCGGCUAACUCCGUGCCAGCAGCCGCGGUAAUACGGAGGAUGCGAGCGUUAUCCGGAAUCAUUGGGUUUAAAGGGUCCGUAGGCGGGCUGAUAAGUCAGAGGUGAAAUCGUUCAGCUCAACUGAGCAACUGCCUUUGAAACUGUCAGUCUUGAAUGAUUGUGAAGUAGUUGGAAUGUGUAGUGUAGCGGUGAAAUGCUUAGAUAUUACACAGAACACCGAUUGCGAAGGCAGGAGACUAACAAAUGAUUGACGCUGAGAGACGAGAGCGUGGGGAGCGAACAGGAUU